GAUGAACGCUAGCUACAGGCUUAACACAUGCAAGUCGAGGGGAAACGAUAUUGGAAGCUUGCUUCCGAUAGGCGUCGACCGGCGCACGGGUGAGUAACGCGUAUCCAACCUGCCCAUCACUUGGGGAUAACCUUGCGAAAGUAAGACUAAUACCCAAUGAUAUCUCUAGAAGACAUCUGAAGGAGAUUAAAGAUUUAUCGGUGAUGGAUGGGGAUGCGUCUGAUUAGCUUGUUGGCGGGGUAACGGCGCACCAAGGCUACGAUCAGUAGGGGUUCUCAGAGGAAGUUGCGCCACAUAGGAAAUGAGACACGGUCCAAACUCCUGCGGGAGGCAGCAGUGAAGAAUAUUGGUCAAUGGACGUGAGUCUGAACCAGCCAAGUAGCGUGCAGGAUGACGGCCCUAUGGGUUGUAAACUGCUUUUAUAAGGGAAUAAAGUGAGUCUCGUGAGACUUUUUGCAUGUACCUUAUGAAUAAGGACCGGCUAAUUCCGUGCCAGCAGCCGCAGUAA
rnacentral:rRNA from 1 species